GGCUUUUUGAUAAUAAUUUAAGGUCUAGCCUGCCCAAUGAUGAAGUAUUAAAUGGCCGCGGUAUCUUGACCGUGCAAAGGUAGCAUAAUCAUUAGUUUUUUAAUUGGAAGCUUGUAUGAAAGGUUUAAUGAAAAAAUAGCUGUCUCUAUUUUAAUUUUUUAGAAAUUUAUUUUUAAGUUAAAAAGCUUAAAUGAGUAUUAAAGACGAGAAGACCCUAUAGAGUUUUAUAAUUUUAUGAAAUUAUUAUAUUUUGGGAUUUUUUAAUAAUUUUUUGAGAUUAUUUGGUUGGGGUGAUUGAAAAAUUGAUAAAACUUUUUUGUUAGGAUUUCAUUGAUUUGUGAGUUUUUGAUCUUUAUUAAAGGUUAAUAAAUAAAAUUACCUUAGGGAUAACAGCGUAAUUUUUUUUAGAGUUCUUAUCAAAAAAAAAGAUUGCGACCUCGAUGUUGGAUUAAAAUUAAUUAUUGGUGUAGAAGCUAAUAGGUUAGGUCUGUUCGACCUUUAAAUUUUUACAUGAUCUGAGUUUAAACCGGUGUGAG
rnacentral:rRNA from 1 species